CGGAGUGUAGUUCAGAUGGCUAGAACGUCCGGCUGGGGGCCGGGAGGUCGCUGGUUCGAGUCCAGUCACUCCGA
rnacentral:tRNA from 1 species